rnacentral:tRNA from 1 species
AGGGCUUUAGCUUAAUUAAAGUGUCUGAGUUGCAUUCAGGUGAUGUGGGAUAAAGUCCUGCAAGUCUUA